rnacentral:rRNA from 1 species
GACGAACGCUGGCGGCGUGCCUAAUACAUGCAAGUUGAGCGCUGAAGGUUGGUACUUGUACCAACUGGAUGAGCAGCGAACGGGUGAGUAACGCGUGGGGAAUCUGCCUUUGAGCGGGGGACAACAUUUGGAAACGAAUGCUAAUACCGCAUAAAAACUUUAAACACAUGUUUUAAGUUUGAAAGAUGCAAUUGCAUCACUCAAAGAUGAUCCCGCGUUGUAUUAACUAGUUGGUGAGGUAAAGGCUCACCAAGGCGAUGAUACAUAGCCGACCUGAGAGGGUGAUCGGCCACAUUGGGACUGAGACACGGCCCAAACUCCUACGGGAGGCAGCAGUAGGGAAUCUUCGGCAAUGGACGAAAGUCUGACCGAGCAACGCCGCGUGAGUGAAGAAGGUUUUCGGAUCGUAAAACUCUGUUGGUAGAGAAGAACGUUGGUGAGAGUGGAAAGCUCAUCAAGUGACGGUAACUACCCAGAAAGGGACGGCUAACUACGUG